UACGAAGGGUGCAAACGUUGCUCGGAAUUACUGGGCGUAAAGCGCACGUAGGCGGCUUUGUAAGUUAGAGGUGAAAGCCCGGGGCUCAACUCCGGAAUUGCCUUUAAGACUGCAUCGCUAGAAUUGUGGAGAGGUAAGUGGAAUUCCGAGUGUAGAGGUGAAAUUCGUAGAUAUUCGGAAGAACACCAGUGGCGAAGGCGACUUACUGGACACAUAUUGACGCUGAGGUGCGAAAGCGUGGGGAGCAAACAGG
rnacentral:rRNA from 1 species